UACGGAGGGUGCAGGCGUUAUCCGGAUUCACUGGGUUUAAAGGGUGCGUAGGCGGGCAUAUAAGUCAGUGGUGAAAUCCCCGAGCUUAACUUGGGAACUGCCGUUGAUACUAUGUGUCUUGAAUAUCGCGGAGGUAAGCGGAAUAUGUCAUGUAGCGGUGAAAUGCAUAGAUAUGACAUAGAACACCGAUUGCGAAGGCAGCUUACUACACGAUCAUUGACGCUGAGGCACGAAAGCGUGGGGAGCAAACAGG
rnacentral:rRNA from 1 species